rnacentral:rRNA from 1 species
ACGAAGGGGGCUAGCGUUGUUCGGAAUUACUGGGCGUAAAGCGUAUGCAGGCGGUUCGUUAAGUCGGGGGUGAAAUCCCGAGGCUCAACCUCGGAACUGCCUUCGAUACUGGCGAUCUUCGAGUCCGGGAGAGGUGAGUGGAACUCCGAGUGUAGAGGUGAAAUUCGUAGAUAUUCGCAAGAACACCAGUGGCGAAGGCGGCUCACUGGCCCGAUACUGACGCUGAGGCACGAAAGCGUGGGGAGCAAACAGG